UACGAAGGGGGCUAGCGUUGCUCGGAAUCACUGGGCGUAAAGCGCACGUAGGCGGAUUGUUAAGUCAGGGGUGAAAUCCUGGAGCUCAACUCCAGAGCUGCCUUUGAUACUGGCGAUCUCGAGUCCGGGAGAGGUGAGUGGAACUGCGAGUGUAGAGGUGAAAUUCGUAGAUAUCGAGAGGAACACCGGUGGCGAAAGCGGCGUACUGGGUCUUUUCUGACGCUGAGGCACGAAAGCUAGGGUAGCGAACGGG
rnacentral:rRNA from 1 species